rnacentral:rRNA from 1 species
UACGUAGGGUGCGAGCGUUGCCCGGAUUUAUUGGGCGUAAAGGGCGCGUAGGCGGCUCGGCACGUCCGUUGUGAAAUCGCUCGGCUCAACUGGGCGAGGUCAGCGGAUACGGUCGAGCUUGAGCCAGCUAGGGGGCAAUGGAAUUCCCGGUGUAGCGGUGAAAUGCGCAGAUAUCAGGAGGAACACCGAUGGCGAAGGCAGGUCUCUGGGCCACUACUGACGCUGAGAAGCGAAAGCAUGGGGAGCGAACAGG